ensembl:misc_RNA Metazoa_SRP Metazoan signal recognition particle RNA
GCUGGGCACGUUGGCAUGUGCCUGUAGUCCCAGCUGCUUGGGAAGCUGAGGCAGGAGGAUUGCUUGAGCCCAGGAGGUGGAGGCUGCAGUGAGCCAUGUUUGUACUACCACACUCCAGCCUGGGUGACAAAGUGAGACCCUGUCUCAA